rnacentral:rRNA from 1 species
ACGUGCGCGAUGGAUGACUUGGCUUCUUAUUUGGUUGAAGAAUGCAGCAAAGGCGACAAGUGG